GGCGGCGUGCUUAACACAUGCAAGUCGAGCGAAUGAUCCCUUCGGGGAGAUUUAGCGGCGGACGGGUGAGUAACACGUGGGCAACCUGCCUUAAUGAGGGGGAUAGCCUUCCGAAAGGAAGAUUAAUACCCCAUAAUAUUAUUUUGUCGCAUGAUAGAAUAAUCAAAGAUGUAUCGCAUUAAGAUGGGCCCGCGGCGCAUUAGCUAGUUGGUGAGGUAACGGCUCACCAAGGCCACGAUGCGUAGCCGACCUGAGAGGGUGAUCGGCCACAUUGGGACUGAGACACGGCCCAGACUCCUACGGGAGGCAGCAGUGGGGAAUAUUGCACAAUGGGGGAAACCCUGAUGCAGCAACGCCGCGUGAGUGAUGAAGGUCUUCGGAUUGUAAAGCUCUGUCUCUGGGGACGAUAAUGACGGUACCCAAGGAGGAAGCCACGGCUAACUACGUGCCAGCAGCCGCGGUAAUACGUAUGUGGCAAGCGUAGUCCGGAA
rnacentral:rRNA from 1 species